GAUGAACGCUGGCGGCGUGCCUAAUACAUGCAAGUCGAGCGAACGGACGAGAAGCUUGCUUUUCUGAUGUUAGCGGCGGAAGGGUGAGUAACACGUGGAUAACCGACCUAUAAGACUGGGAUAACUUCGGGAAACCGGAGCUAAUACCGGAUAAUAUUUUGAACCGCAUGGUUCAAAAGUGAAAGACGGUCUUGCUGUCACUUAUAGAUGGAUCCGCGCUGCAUUAGCUAGUUGGUAAGGUAACGGCUUACCAAGGCAACGAUGCAUAGCCGACCUGAGAGGGGGAUCGGCCAGCCUGGAACUGAGACACGGCCCAGACUCUUAGGGGAGGCAGCAGUAGGGAAUCUUCCGCGAGGGGCGAAAGCCUGACGGAGCAACGCCGCGUGAGUGAUGAAGGUCUUCGGAUCGUAAAACUCUGUUAUUAGGGAAGAAGAUAUGUGUAAGUAACUGUGCACAUCUUGACGGUACCUAAUCAGAAAGCCACGGCUAACUACGUG
rnacentral:rRNA from 1 species